rnacentral:rRNA from 1 species
UUUUACGGAGAGUUUGAUCCUGGCUCAGGACGAACGCUGGCGGCGUGCUUAACACAUGCAAGUCGAGCGGUAAGGCCUUUCGGGGUACACGAGCGGCGAACGGGUGAGUAACACGUGGGUGAUCUGCCCUGCACUCUGGGAUAAGCUUGGGAAACUGGGUCUAAUACCGGAUAUGACCACAUGCCGCAUGGUGUGUGGUGGAAAGAUUUAUCGGUGCAGGAUGGGCCCGCGGCCUAUCAGCUUGUUGGUGGGGUAAUGGCCUACCAAGGCGACGACGGGUAGCCGACCUGAGAGGGUGACCGGCCACACUGGGACUGAGA